rnacentral:rRNA from 1 species
AGAGGAUGCUUUUGGCGAGGUGCCUUCCGAGUUCCCUGGAACGGGACGCCAUAGAGGGUGAGAGCCCCGUCUGGUCGGACACCGAGCCUCUGUAAAGCUCCUUCGACGAGUCGAGUAGUUUGGGAAUGCUGCUCAAAAUGGGAGGUAUAUGUCUUCUAAAGCUAAAUAUUGGCCAGAGACCGAUAGCGCACAAGUAGAGUGAUCGAAAGAUGAAAAGCACUUUGAAAAGAGGGUUAAAAAGUACGUGAAAUUGUUGAAAGGGAAGCGCCUAUGACCAGACUUGGGCCCGGUGAAUCAUCCAGCGUUCUCGCUGGUGCACUUUGCCGGGCACAGGCCAGCAUCAGUUCGGCGCGGGGGACAAAGGCUUCGGGAAUGUGGCUCCCCCGGGAGUGUUAUAGCCCGUUGCGUAAUACCCUGCGCCGGACUGAGGUACGCGCAUCGCAAGGAUGCUGGCGUAAUGGUCAUCAGCGACCCGUCUUGAAACACGGACCAAGGAGUCGUCUUCGUAUGCGAGUGUUCGGGUGUCAAACCCCUACGCGUAAUGAAAGUGAACGCAGGUGAGAGCUUCGGCGCAUCAUCGACCGAUCCUGAUGUUCUCGGAUGGAUUUGAGUAAGAGCAUACGGGGCCGGACCCGAAAGAAGGUGAACUAUGCCUGUAUAGGGUGAAGCC